rnacentral:miRNA from 1 species
UCCGGCCCUCUCCGUCACCCCGGCGCAGGCCGGGGCCCAUACAACCCCACUCAUGGAUCCCGGCCUACGCCGGGAUGACGGAAAGGGCGUGA